GAUGAACGCUGGCGGCGUGCCUAAUACAUGCAAGUCGAGCGAACGGACGAGAAGCUUGCUUCUCUGAUGUUAGCGGCGGACGGGUGAGUAACACGUGGAUAACCUACCUAUAAGACUGGGAUAACUUCGGGAAACCGGAGCUAAUACCGGAUAAUAUUUUGAACCAUGCGGUUCAAAAGUGAAAGACGGUCUUGCUGUCACUUAUAGAUGGAUCCGCGCUGCAUUAGCUAGUUGGUAAGGUAACGGCUUACCAAGGCAACGAUGCAUAGCCGACCUGAGAGGGUGAUCGGCAACACUGGAACUGAGACACGGUCCAGACUCCUACGGGAGGCAGCAGUAGGGAAUCUUCCGCAAUGGGCGAAAGCCUGACGGAGCAACGCCGCGUGAGUGAUGAAGGUCUUCGGAUCGUAAAACUCUGUUAUUAGGGAAGAACAUAUGUGUAAGUAACUGUGCACAUCUUGACGGUACCUAAUCAGAAAGCCACGGCUAACUACGUG
rnacentral:rRNA from 1 species